rnacentral:rRNA from 1 species
GACGAACGCUGGCGGCGUGCUUAACACAUGCAAGUCGAACGGUGAAGCGCCUUCCUUUUUGGUGGGUGUGGAUGAGUGGCGAACGGGUGAGUAACACGUGAGUAACCUGCCCCCUUCUUCUGGAUAACCGCAUGAAAGUGUGGCUAAUACGGGAUAUUCUGGGUCUGUCGCAUGAUGGGUCUGGGAAAGAUAUUGUUUCGGUGGGGGAUGGGCUCGCGGCCUAUCAGCUUGUUGGUGGGGUGAUGGCCUACCAAGGCGGUGACGGGUAGCCGGCCUGAGAGGGUGGACGGUCACACUGGGACUGAGACACGGCCCAGACUCCUACGGGAGGCAGCAGUGGGGAAUAUUGCACAAUGGGCGGAAGGCUGAUGCAGCGACGCCGCGUGAGGGAUGGAGGCCUUCGGGUUGUGAACCUCUUUCGCCAGUGAAGCAGGCCUGCCUCGUUUGUGGGUGGGUUGACGGUAGCUGGAUAAGAAGCGCCGGCUAACUACGUG